rnacentral:rRNA from 1 species
UACGGAGGAUGCAAGCGUUAUCCGGAAUGAUUGGGCGUAAAGCGUCCGCAGGUGGCUGUGUAAGUCUGCUGUUAAAGAGUCUAGCUCAACUAGAUACAAGCAGUGGAAACUACACGGCUAGAGUACGUUCGGGGCAGAGGGAAUUCCUGGUGUAGCGGUGAAAUGCGUAGAUAUCUGGAGGAAUACCGGUGGCGAAGGCGGCAUCCUGGACCGACAUUGACGCUGAGGAGCGAAAGCUAGGGGAGCAAACGGG